rnacentral:rRNA from 1 species
GAUGAACGCUGGCGGCGUGCUUAACACAUGCAAGUCGAACGGUGAAGCAGGAGCUUGCUCUUGUGGAUCAGUGGCGAACGGGUGAGUAACACGUGAGCAACCUGCCCCUGACUCUGGGAUAAGCGCUGGAAACGGCGUCUAAUACUGGAUAUGUGAUGUGACCGCAUGGUCUGCAUCUGGAAAGAAUUUCGGUUGGGGAUGGGCUCGCGGCCUAUCAGCUUGUUGGUGAGGUAAUGGCUCACCAAGGCGUCGACGGGUAGCCGGCCUGAGAGGGUGACCGGCCACAAUGGGACUGAGACACGGCCCAGACUCCUACGGGAGGCAGCAGUGGGGAAUAUUGCACAAUGGGCGGAAGCCUGAUGCAGCAACGCCGCGUGAGGGAUGACGGCCUUCGGGUUGUAAACCUCGUUUAGCAGGGAAGAAGCGAAAGUGACGGUACCUGCAGAAAAAGCACCGGCUAACUACGUGCCAGCCGCCGCGGUAA